UACGUAGGGUCCGAGCGUUGUCCGGAAUUACUGGGCGUAAAGGGCUCGUAGGCGGUUUGUCGCGUUGUUCGUGAAAACUCACAGCUUAACUGUGGGCGUGCGGGCGAUACGGGCAGACUUGAGUACUGCAGGGGAGACUGGAAUUCCUGGUGUAGCGGUGGAAUGCGCAGAUAUCAGGAGGAACACCAGUGGCGAAGGCGGGUCUCUGGGCAGUAACUGACGCUGAGGAGCGAAAGCGUGGGGAGCGAACAGG
rnacentral:rRNA from 1 species